UACGGGGGGGGCAAGCGUUGUUCGGAAUUACUGGGCGUAAGGGCUCGUAGGUGGCCAACUAAGUCAGACGUGAAAUCCCUCGGCUUAACCGGGGAACUGCGUCUGAUACUGGAUGGCUUGAGUUUGGGAGAGGGACGCGGAAUUCCAGGUGUAGCGGUGAAAUGCGUAGAUAUCUGGAGGAACACCGGUGGCGAAGGCGGCGUCCUGGACCAACACUGACACUGAUGAGCGAAAGCCAGGGGAGCAAACGGG
rnacentral:rRNA from 1 species